UAGUGGAACUGUUUGGGAAGGAUUAGGAGGUGAGGUGUGACCUUGUUGAAGUAAGAUUAAGAGGUGGCCUUGUUGGAGGAGGUGUGUUGGGGGUGAGCUCUAAAGUUUCAAAAGCCCGUGCCAGGCCCAGUCUCCUCUGUGUCUGCUGCCUGAGAUUCAGAUGUAAACCUUUUGCUCAACUACUGCUCCCCCACUGUGCCUGUCUACUUCCCACCAUGAUAACCAUGGACCAACCUUCUAAAACCGUAGGCAAGCACCGGAUUCAAUGUUUUAUUUUAUAAGAAUUUCCUGGGUCACAGUGCUUCUUCACAGCAGUAGAACAAGAGCCAAGACAGAAAUCAACGGGAAACUACACAAAUCCAACCCUGGGAGGAUGACAAACAGCAGAGACCCUUCAGGAAUGAAGGUAUGGGUCCCUCCUCCAGGGGAAGAACCAAGAUCUGCCAAGGUGCUUGCUGAGGGUGGAGGAAACACAGAAACAGUAGAGGAGGAAGAUAGUUAUAACUACCAGCUUUGUCAUGUAACCAAUUGCAAAAAACAAGGAUUAUAAUUGACGUGAGUCCUUUAGUUAUAUUUUGUUAAGAUAUGUUUGGGCAGAUAUUUGCUUUAUUUUCUUGAUUUAUCAUGCAGUAUCACAUCAAUGAGAGAAUACCAAUGAUUGUUAUAUGUAUGGUUGAGAUUCUGAAAGAUUUUUUCCUUAAGGAACAGUACCAUUUAUUCUAAAAAAUGCAUCACGUGUUUGCUAUAGUACACGAGGUAGUUAUAUCAAUUUAGGCAUAAUUAUGGCUUGGUAAUUGUUUUCAUUUGGAAACUAAGCAUGGCUUAAGGAGAUGCCAUUAUGUAUCAAGUAGACAAGGGGUGGAGUUGUGAUUGAUAUUCUUGGUUGUCAACUUGAAUACACCUGGAAUUAACUAAAAUCCAAGCAGUUGGGUUCACCUGUGAGGGAUUUUUUCCUAAUCCAAUCAUUUGAAGUGGGAAGAGCCAUCUUUAAUCCAGAUCAUUUGAGGUGGGUACAUCCACCUUAAGUAUGGGCCACUCCUUCCUGUGGCAGCCAUAUAAAGGGCUUUGAAGGAGGAGGCUUUUGUUCUUUGCCUGUGUGCCCUCCCUCUCACUGGCAAGUCUAACCCUUCACUGGCGUCAGAGCCUACUUCUUCAGGAUUCCUGUGUAUACUGAAGACCAGCUUAGACAUCCAGCCUCAUAGACUGAAUAACCGCUAGAUUCUCGGACUUUCUGUUAGGAUAUGGCCAGUGCUGGACUAGCCUAAGCAUAGCCUGUAAGCCACUCUACUAAAUCCCAAGUAUGUGAGAACCCUGACUUAUGCAGGUAGUAUUUCACAUUUAAACUACAAUACCUUCAGGAUAUGUACUCACUCCUGAGCUUAUUUCUAUAUUCAUUAUCUCUAUCUACAUUAAACUAUAGGUCAGUUGAUGGUCAUGUCCUUUGCUUGAUUCAAAGGCAACAGUGGCAGCAGAUGGUGUCUCACAGUCAAUUCUAUCUCAGUCUUGCUAUGACUGUACGUUCCAACUACUCCAGGAGCAACUUCUUAAGUCUUUUCUUUAGGCCACCUCUAAAUAUUAGGCUGUAGUAAAAUCAUAGCUCUGGGAGCAGGGCCCUGCAUAGAUAUGAUGACACAAGACAAGCUGGUCACCGAGUAUCUUCAUGCUGCUCUCUGACUAGCCAAGGUGACAGGCCAUAUGAAGUGUGCCUACACUCCGAGGACUCAGCAGACCCGUGUUUCUGGUUUGAGUAUUCUGGCAGUCACACACAGACAGAGACAUGACUCAUGUGUGAAGGAUAGUGCUUUCAGGGGUCAUUUUACUCAAUUUCCAGAGACCAUAGAGCACUGCAGACAUCAGGAAAUGGUGCUAGGAAAGCCCCUGUAAUUGCAACCAAGACUUAAAGUCUAGGUCUCUGUCUCGUUUCUUCCUACUCUUCCUCCUCCUUCUUUUUCCUCUCUCUUCUCUCUCUUUCCUCCCCUCUUCCUCUUCCUUUGCCUCCACCCCCUUCUAAGUAUUUCUGUCAUUUUUAAAAACUGUCUUUUGUAACAGUUUUUAAGGCUUUUGCAGGCCAGGUUGAUGGGAGAAGAAAGCCUGUGUCACAGACCUGAGUGUCAGCAAUAUGGUACGGGAGGGGGAAAAAUGCAGUUUCCAUUGCAGAAGCAAUUUUGACCAAACGGCCAGGCACCAAGCUCCUGAGAAAUGUCUCUUAGAGCUUGAAAAUGAAAUGCCUGGGGAGCACUGUACCGGGCCAAGCCCAGCUCUAUCUGAACAUCUCAUAAAUGUCCCGACAAGCAUAGCCUGACAGCGAAGAAAAUGUAGGAGAACCAGUUCUGAAAUGCAGUGAGACGGAAUAAAGGAAAGCUCAGGCUCAGCUGCUCACGGAAGUUCACAUGCACAAGCAUCCUAAGCAAGGAGCGACUGUUCGGGCAUAUACUUCUCUGAGAACUGGAACAGAGCCAGAAAGCUCCAACCAGAGUGUUAGAAACAUCUAUAACUACUCUGGAACCUUCCAGCUAGAAGACAAGCUUUGAAGACAAUGUGCCCCCACCUGGAGGAUUGGGUGACUGAGAUAUUGAUCUAAGAAGUUUAUGUGCACAAAAUGGAUUUCCUAUUACCUUAAAUAAUGGCAACUGUGUUUUUCAGCUGUUUCUAAUACUGUUAGGAGGUCUUUGUUGGAUAUACUGUUUAUAGUCCAUGAAAGCUUUAUUGCAAUUCAAUAUCUGACUUAUUAGAGAAACUAGGUAACACAAGCAAGUCCCCUUCUAGCCACCUGACAAAUGAAUUGACAAUGUAACGAUUUGCAUAGCACUGAGAACAGGUGACCUCAAGCUCAGAGGUCUGUCUGCUUUUGCCUCCUGAGUGAGUGCAGGGAUUAAAGAGGAGCAGGGCAGCAUUCAGCUGAGAAUAGAGCUAGGAAGGACUCAGGGACUAUGGGAGGUGAAGAAAGAAAAGAAUGAGAUCUAGAACAGAUCCUGUAUUGUGUGUACUGAUCUUCCCCUUGAGACUGAAGACUUUAUAUCUGCAGUUGCUAGCUGACAACCUCCAGUCCUCAGUCUGAAGACUGUUUUUUUUUCCUUGCCAAAAAGCACUGCUUUCUGCCAGUGUGUGGCAGUGCUGAAGAGCCCUGAUAGUUCUGGAGCACUCCCUAGUACUACCAAGGCCUGUUCCGAUGGAAGCUUGAUGCUCUGCUUGCUUCUUUUACAGCUCUCAGGCGCUGAUCCCAGGGGCCUCCCUGAUGUUCCCCCAUGCUAAUUUGUUCUGAGUCAACUUCCCAGGGAACUUGACCUAGAGUAAAUACCAUGGCAGCCCUACUCUUAUUGUUUAUUUGCACAGAUUAUCCCUGAUGAAUAUGGUUUGAUGUACUAGUUUUUAACUUUACAAUGGUGUGAAACCAACACCAUUUAGUAUAAGAUUUUUGAUUUUGAUUUUGGUCAGUUCCCAGGCUCAUGAAAUGUGCCAAUGAGCCGUCGCUCUCAAAUCAGUUAUAGGAUCGUAAGUGUAAAUACUUAACAUUCUCUGUGCCAACUUGCUAAAGUGUAAUAUUCCAACAGAUUAAUGCAUUUAUGACCUGUGGAAGAUAUUUUCAAUGCAUAUUGGAAUUAUCAGAACAUAACCACAGUUUAGAAGCCUCUAUAUAUGGAAUAUUCAUGUAGGAUUUUAUUGAAAGCAAUUCAAACUGGUUUCACACUUAAAUGCUUUACCCAGUAAGGAAAAUUAUCAUUAUGUUAUAUAUGGAAGACUACUUUAUGGUUCAUCUUUCAAACUAACAUCAGGGGAGUAUUGUUUCUUUUUCUAUUAGCCUUUGUAUUUAUUUUGCAUUUAUAAACAUAUCCUUAUGCCUUAGAGCAGAAAUGUAUUAGCUAAUAGAAUGAGUCAUGACUAUUUUUAAUGUUCCUAACAUACCUAAAAUCAAGAAUGUUCAUUAAUAAAAGUGACUGUAACAAACCA